UGCCAUGCGGCGUCUAUAAUGCAGUCGAGCGACGGAUAAGGAGCUUGCUCCUUUGAAGUUAGCGGCGGACGGGUGAGUAACACGUGGGUAACCUACCUAUAAGACUGGAAUAACUUCGGGAAACCGGAGCUAAUGCCGGAUAACAUAUAGAACCGCAUGGUUCUAUAGUGAAAGAUGGUUUUGCUAUCACUUAUAGAUGGACCCGCGCCGUAUUAGCUAGUUGGUAAGGUAAUGGCUUACCAAGGCGACGAUACGUAGCCGACCUGAGAGGGUGAUCGGCCACACUGGAACUGAGACACGGUCCAGACUCCUACGGGAGGCAGCAGUAGGGAAUCUUCCGCAAUGGGCGAAAGCCUGACGGAGCAACGCCGCGUGAGUGAUGAAGGUUUUCGGAUCGUAAAACUCUGUUAUUAGGGAAGAACAAAUGCGUAAGUAACUGUGCGCAUCUUGACGGUACCUAAUCAGAAAGCCACGGCUAACUACGUGCCAGCAGCCGCGGUAAUACGUAGGUGGCAAGCGUUAUCCGGAAUUAUUGGGCGUAAAGCGCGCGUAGGCGGUUUCUUAAGUCUGAUGUGAAAGCCCACGGCUCAACCGUGGAGGGUCAUUGGAAACUGGGAAACUUGAGUGCAGAAGAGGAAAGUGGAAUUCCAUGUGUAGCGGUGAAAUGCGCAGAGAUAUGGAGGAACACCAGUGGCGAAGGCGACUUUCUGGUCUGUAACUGACGCUGAUGUGCGAAAGCGUGGGGAUCAAACAGGAUUAGAUACCCUGGUAGUCCACGCCGUAAACGAUGAGUGCUAAGUGUUAGGGGGUUUCCGCCCCUUAGUGCUGCAGCUAACGCAUUAAGCACUCCGCCUGGGGAGUACGACCGCAAGGUUGAAACUCAAAGGAAUUGACGGGGACCCGCACAAGCGGUGGAGCAUGUGGUUUAAUUCGAAGCAACGCGAAGAACCCUUACCAAAUCUUGACAUCCUUUGAAAACUCUAGAGAUAGAGCCUUCCCCUUCGGGGGACAAAGUGACAGGUGGUGCAUGGUUGUCGUCAGCUCGUGUCGUGAGAUGUUGGGUAGUCCCGCACGAGCGCAACCCUUAGGCUAGCGCAUCAUUAGGUUGGCACCUCUAGAUGACUGGCGGUGACGAUCCGGCAGAAGGUGGAAUGACGUCCAAUUCAUCAUGCCCGUUAUA
rnacentral:rRNA from 1 species